GGCGAUAUGACCGAGCGGUUAAGGUGAUAGCUUCAGGUUUAUCUUCGAACGCUAUUCCGAAAGGGCGUGGGUUCGAAUCCCACUGUCGUCA